GCAGUGGGGAAGCAACAGGCAGGGGCGUGAAGGCAAGAACCGCAGGGCAGGCGAGUUGCAUGCAAAGGGCUAAAGAGCAGGAGUGGGCUAUAGAGCUUCCAGCCCACCUCUGUACUUUAUCACACUGAAAUCUGCAGCAUUUCUAGCAUGGAAUUGUAUAUUGAGCACGGAGUAAGUGCAAAUGGCCAAUGAGUUGGGCAGACUCUGUGAAUCAAGAGUCGCAUCUGAGUUACAAUGGUGUAAAACUGGGUCUGGACCAAACCCCUAACACGAAGUUCAUCAGAAGCCAUUAAGCAUCACCUGGUUUAAAUUGCACAAAGAUUGCAAGUUCAGGAGGCUCUGAGGGCUGGUUCCAGGCCCACCCUUCUGCUGAAGAUAAGAAAACAACUGGCCUCCUUCAUAACAGUCCUAACAGAGAGACAAGAAAUGAAGAGGCUACGGAGAUGAGCUCAUCUCUCAGCCCUUGA